AUUGAACGCUGGCGGCAGGCCUAACACAUGCAAGUCGAGCGAGCGGCGGACGGGUGAGUAAUGUCUGGGAAACUGCCUGAUGGAGGGGGAUAACUACUGGAAACGGUAGCUAAUACCGCAUACCAUCAGAUGUGCCCAGAUGGGAUUAGCUAGUAUGUGGGGUAAUGGGUCACCUGGGCGACGAUCCCUAGCUGGUCUGAGAGGAUGAACAGGCAAACUGGAAAUGAGAAACGGGCCCGGAUCCUCAGGGAGGCAGCAGGGGGGAAUAUUGCAAAAUGGGGGCAAGCCUGAUGGAACCAUGGCGGGGGGAAGAAUAAGGCCUUCGGGUUGUAAAAGACUUUCAGCGGGGGGGCGUUACUCGCAGAAGAAGCACCGGCUAACUCCGUGCCAGCCGCCGCGGUAAUAC
rnacentral:rRNA from 1 species